UGGAAAGUGCCGGCACAGAGGGUGAUACCCCCGUACGCGAAACACCGCAUUGGACACAUUAAGUAGGGCGGGGCACGUGAAACCUUGUCUGAACAUGGGGGGACCAUCCUCCAAGGCUAAAUACUCGUUGUCGACCGAUAGUGAACCAGUACCGUGAGGGAAAGGCGAAAAGAACCCCGGCGAGGGGAGUGAAAUAGAACCUGAAACCGGAUGCGUACAAGCAGUAGGAGCCCUUCGGGGUGACUGCGUACCUUUUGUAUAAUGGGUCAGCGAGUUACGUUUCUGUGGCGA
rnacentral:rRNA from 1 species